UACGUAGGGUGCGAGCGUUAAUCGGAAUUACUGGGCGUAAAGCGUGCGCAGGCGGCUUGCCAAGUCAGAUGUGAAAGCCCCGGGCUUAACCUGGGAGUGGCGUUUGAAACUGGCAGGCUAGAGUUUGGCAGAGGGGGGUGGAAUUCCACGUGUAGCAGUGAAAUGCGUAGAGAUGUGGAGGAACACCGAUGGCGAAGGCAGCCCCCUGGGCCAAAACUGACGCUCAGGCACGAAAGCGUGGGGAGCAAACAGG
rnacentral:rRNA from 1 species